ensembl:lncRNA
AUGAAGAAUGGAACAGAAACUCAGCUAGUAUUCCUGGACUUUCUAACUUCUGGAUCACCCUUAUGUGUGUUUCAUGAACAAUUAACUCUAAGGAUAUCUUCAAUAAACGACUGCAAGGUUUCAAAAUGCUCUUCCCAUCGACAGACCACAAUUUUGAGAAAAUUGAAGCUUAUAAAAGGUAACAAGUCUGCUUUAAGAAAGAGAAUACAAAAUGGCAAGUAGAAAAUUAGGUAUGAAAGUAAAUAUUUAUUUAAAAUAAGAAAAGAAAUCAUAAGUAAUUGCUAGUGCAUUGGAGUUCAGGUCCGUUUCUUACCAAAUUGCUUUAAGUUAUUUACCAGAACUAUUUACACAGAAAUGCUUCUUGCAAUCUGUCUUCAUUUAUUCUCUCAGAACAAUCUACAGCCAGCAGUAAAUCCACGCAAUCAUAGAAGUCUGUUCAAGGGAGUGGCUCUGAAACUUAAGAUCCCUUAUCUUCAAUGUUAUUUGCUUCUCCCUCCAGGCCUCCAACUAAAGGUAGACUUGGAAAUGAGUAGUAAUGAAGCUUUCCUUAACUAGUGAAGUCACCCAUAAACCUCUGGUAGGGUCUGGUUAGUUCCUUGCUUUGAACACAUUUGUGUUGAGAAUGAAGUGUGUAGACAGAAAUAGGCAUUGUGUCCCCUGGUCUAAAUUCAGGUAUAUUUUUGGAGCAAAACAAAACUAUGGUAACAAUUGCAAAUUUAAAACUAUGUCAUAUCUCUGAAUUGCUACCUCUGGCCAUAAAGAAUAAAGAUGUAGAAUGAGUCCUCCCAUUCUAAAGAAUUAUAAAUCUGAACAACACAUAUAAGGCAACUGUUUUCAGGCAGUGUGCAAAAGGUAGCACAACAAUGCGAUUAUAAACAUUUGAAAAAUGAAAUGUUAAACUGCCAUUUACAGUGGAUUUUUUUAAAUUGAGAACAAUAUUAAAGGAAUGAAAUGGCAACUCACAGAAUGAGAGAUAGUUUUUGCAAAUCAUAUUCCUGAUAAAAGAGUAUUAUACAGAAUAAUAACUCAUACAACUCAACAACAAAAAACAAACAACCUGAUUAAAAAAUGAGCAAAGGACAGAUAUAAACACUUCUACAAAGAAGGUACACAAAUGGCCAAUAAGUAAAAGAAAAGAUGUUCAAAAGCACUAAUAAUUAGAGAAAUGCAAAUCAAACUAGAUUGUCUAUUAUUUAAAAAAAAAAAAAGAGAGAGAGAGAGAGAGACAGACCAGAGAAUAAUAAGUGUUGGCAAGGAUAUGGAGAAAUCAGACUGAUUGUGUAUUGCUGGUAAAAUAAAAAAAAUUUAACAGAUGCUGUGGAAAACAGUAUGGUAGUUCCACAAAAUAUUACACAUACAAUUAUGGUAUGAUACAGCAAUUCCACUUCUAGGUACAUACUCAAAGUAGGUGAAAGCAGGAAUUAGGGAGAUGUUUUUACAGAAAUGUUCAGAGUAGCAUUAUUCACAAUUUUCAAAAGGCAGAAACAACUCAAAUACCCACUGAGAGAAGAAACAAAGUAGAAGUAGGACAAAUACAUACAAUGAAAUAUUAUUCAGCAUUAAUAAGGAAGAAAAUUCUGAUACAUGCUACUAUAUAGAUGAACCUUGAAGACUUUAUGCUUAGUGAAAUGAAUCAGACACAAAGGACAAUAAUUGAAUUAUUGUGUGAUUCUGUUUAUAUGAAGUAAUUAGAAUAGCUAAAAUCAUAGAUAUGGAAAGGAAAAUAAUGCUUACCAGGGACUAAGGGGGAGAGAAAAUGGAGAGUUAUUAUUAAUAGAUACAGAGUUUCAGCAUGAGAUAUUGAAA